rnacentral:rRNA from 1 species
UACAGAGGUCUCGAGCGUUAGGCGGAAUCACUGGGCUUAAAGCGUGUGUAGGCGGAUCGUUAAGUGCCUUGUGAAAUCCCACGGCUCAACCGUGGAACUGCUUGGCAUGCUGGCGGUCUUGAGCAACCUAGGGGCGAGCGGAACAAAUGGUGGAGCGGUGAAAUGCGUAGAUAUCAUUUGGAACGCCAAUGGUGAAAACAGGUAGCUGGGGCUGUGCUGACGCUGAGACACGAAAGCCAGGGGAGCGAACGGG